UUAUAAGCAAAUUUUGGCUUUUAGAUUCAUUCAAUUGAUGAUGUAUGUGGUUUAAUAUUUAGACCACAUACAUCAUUAAUUGAAUGAACCUUAAAGUCGAAAUUUACUUAUAA
rfam:Medicago truncatula strain A17 chromosome 4, whole genome shotgun sequence.